rnacentral:hammerhead_ribozyme from 1 species
AUACAUCUGACGAGUCCCAAAUGAGACGAAACACAUGUCAUGGAU